CGGUUGAUCCUGCCGGACCCGACUGCCAUCGAAGUGGGACUAAGCCAUGCUAGUCGAACGUCCUUCAACCAUGCGAGGGGCGUGGCGUACGGCUCAGUAACACGUUGUCAACCUACCCUGAAGACGUGGAUAACCCCGGGAAACUGGGACUAAACCACGAUAGACCAAGACACCUGGAACGGAUCUUGAUCCAAAGGAAGGAUGAGCAUGUUCAUCUAUUCGCCUCAGGAUGGGACUGCGACCGAUCAGGUUGUUGGUGGAGUAAAAGCCCACCAAGCCUAUAACCGGUACGGGCUUUGAGAGAAGGAGCCCGGAGAUGGACACUGAGACAAGGGUCCAGGUCCUACGGGGCGCAGCAGGCGCGAAACCUUCGCAAUGCACGAAAGUGCGACGAGGCUACUUCGAGUGCCGUCCGCUGAGGAUGGCUUUUGUCAGGUCUAAAUAGCCUGGAGAAUAAGGGGAGGGCAAGUCUGGUGUCAGCCGCCGCGGUAAUACCAGCUCCCCGAGUGGUCGGGACGAUUAUUGGGCCUAAAGCAUCCGUAGCCUGCUCCGUUGGUCUUCUGUCAAAUUCAACGGCUUAACCGUUGAGCUGCAGGAGAUACCGCGGGGCUAGGAGGCGGGAGAGGUAGACGGUACUCCAUGGGUAGGGGUAAAAUCCUCUGAUCCAUGGAAGACCACCAGUGGCGAAGGUGGUCUACCAGAACGCGCUCGACGGUGAGGGAUGAAAGCUGGGGGAGCGAACCGGAUUAGAUACCCGGGUAGUCCCAGCUGUAAACGAUGCGAGCUAGGUGAUGGAGUGGUUCCGUACCAUUCCAGUGCCGCAGGGAAGCCGUUAAGCUCGCCGCCUGGGGAGUACGGUCACAAGACUGAAACUUAAAGGAAUUGGCGGGGGAGCACCACAAGGGGUGAAGCCUGCGGUUCAAUUGGAGUCAACGCCGGA
rnacentral:rRNA from 1 species